CAGUCGCCGCGGGAAUACGUAGGUGGCAAGCGUUGUCCGGAAUUAUUGGGCGUAAAGGGCUCGCAGGCGGUUUCUUAAGUCUGAUGUGAAAGCCCCCGGCUCAACCGGGGAGGGUCAUUGGAAACUGGGAAACUUGAGUGCAGAAGAGGAGAGUGGAAUUCCACGUGUAGCGGUGAAAUGCGUAGAGAUGUGGAGGAACACCAGUGGCGAAGGCGACUCUCUGGUCUGUAACUGACGCAGAGGAGCGAAAGCGUGGGGAGCGAACAGGAUUAGAUACCCCCGUAGUCCCUGUCUCUUAUAC
rnacentral:rRNA from 1 species